rnacentral:rRNA from 1 species
ACGGGCAAUUGCCCAGUAACGGCGAGUGAAGCGGCAAAAGCUCAAUUUUGAAAUCCCCCCGGGGAGUUGUAAUUUGAAGACUAGGGGAUUUGGCCCAAACCUGCGCAAGUCCAUUGGAACAUGGCGCCCAAGAGGGUGAGAGCCCCGUCGCGCAGGCCGCAGCCUUGACAUCCCCCCGUCAAAGAGUCGAGUUGUUUGGGAAUGCAGCUCAAAGUGGGUGGUAAAUUCCAUCUAAAGCUAAAUAUUGGCGAGAGACCGAUAGCGAACAAGUACAGUGAUGGAAAGAUGAAAAGCACUUUGAAAAGAGAGUGAAACAGUACGUGAAAUUGUUGAAAGGGAAGGGCUUGCAAGCAGACACGAGUUCGCUCGGGCCAGCAUCAAUUUCGCGAGGUGGACAACACGCCAGGAAUGUGGCAGGCUCCGGCCUGUGUUAUAGCCUGCGCGCCAUACACCUCCGCGAGAUUGAGGCCUGCUCCAAAAGGAUGCUGGCGUAAUGGUUGCAAGUCGCCCGUCUUGAAAMAACRRAMMMAAAAAAGA